AUAAAAGGAGAUCCUCCUGGAGCCGUAUUCCCCUGAUUUAGUCAACAGGAGUUCUCCUGAUACAGUCAACAGGAGUUCUCCAAGGAGAAAGGUUUUGCUGAGCAUCAAGAAUCGAGAUCUUAGAAUGUCUUUGCAUUGCUAUCAGAACAGGCUCAGG